GACGAACGCUGGCGGCGUGCUUAACACAUGCAAGUCGAACGAAGUGGCGAACGGGUGAGUAACGCGUAAUCAACCUGCCCUUCAGAGGGGGACAACAGUUGGAAACGACUGCUAAUACCGCAUACUGAAGGAGGGGAUUGCGGCUGAUUAGCUAGUUGGAGGGGUAACGGCCAACCAAGGCGAUGAUCAGUAGCCGGUCUGAGAGGAUUAACUGCCAAAUUGGGACUGAGACACGGCCCAGACUUCUACGGGAGGCAGCAGUGGGGAAUCUUCCGCAAUGGACGAAAGUCUGACGGAGCAACGCCACGUGGGUGAUGACGGCCUUCGGGUUGUAAAGCUCUGUUAAUCGGGACGCGGUACCGGAAUAGAAAGCCACGGCUAACUACGUGCCAGCAGCCGCGGUAAUUC
rnacentral:rRNA from 1 species